AUGCUUCUCCUAAAGACUAAGCCAUGCAUGUCUUCGAAUAAGAGGAAGCAAUUCUCUCUGAAUCUGCGAACGGCUCCGCAAACCAGUUGUAAACCAAAGCAAGCUUGCUCGGGUUGGGCUUCGGCCUGGCCUGGGUGAUACGGAUAACCCUGGUAAUUCUGAGGCUAAUACGUGUAUGUAACACCCGGUGGACCGGCUUCGGGCUGGGGAAAUCGGGAGACGAGUGAUGGAAUGUUUGGAUUACCAGGAACGGGCA
rnacentral:rRNA from 1 species